rnacentral:lncRNA from 1 species
UUUUGGUUCUCUCCUUCUUCUCCAAUAAAACUCGUCGCCUCUCCGACCAUGCCCCUCUCCCACUUCUCUCAAUCUCCAGUCGCCAUGGAACCCUCAUCAUCGUUGCUCACCUCUGAAGCUGGAAGCCAAAGUCAUCCGCCAUGAAAGAAGGUCACUGAAACUUCACUUGGGUGUGUUUCCGGCUUUUCUCCGGUGGUUCUUGUUCGAUAAUGCCUUCUAUGGUAUCAUAUACGAGUUUCACGGUCAGGUUCUUCGUUUUCCCUAAAUUGUGUGCAAACCCUAAUUUUUUUACUCAAACCUCUUUAAUCUCUACUCUUUUAAAACAACUCUCAGUUUGAUUUUGUUUUCUACUCUAUUUUUACUUAGUGUUUCCGGUUAUUUCAAACUUCAUAUGGUUACUACUCUUUCAAAUUAGGGUUUCUUACCCCUCCUUCUUCAAAAUCGUUUCUUCUGCUCUUUCUGAGUACUAUAUGUUCGUCUGUGUUUAUUUGUUUUGCUUGUUUGUUUGGUGUCCUGGUUAACCUGGUUCCAUGCUUUAAUUUGUCUUGCUAGGGUUUCUAACCCUUUUUAAUCAUUAUUCUUCUGUUUCUUUUUGGUAUUGCGUGAUUACUUCCAUGCUAUGUGCUUGAAACCUUUUGUUUUUUGAGUUCGAUGUCUUAAAUCUCUUCUAAGGUUCCGACCCCCGCUGUUUUAUGCAAUUUUCUUGCUUAGGGUUCUUAGUUUUGCUAUUGUUAUGCUUAAAUUCGAAUGCCUUUCUUUACUGAAUAUUCUAU